UUAACUGAAACCAAAAAGAGGUAUAUUAUUGUUAAUAAUAAAAAUGAAUUAUAAAUAUUCCAGUUAAG
rnacentral:tRNA from 1 species